rnacentral:rRNA from 1 species
UACGUAGGGCGCAAGCGUUGUCCGGAAUUAUUGGGCGUAAAGAGCUCGUAGGCGGUCUGUCGCGUCCGUUGUGAAAACUCGAGGCUCAACCUCGGGCUUGCAGUGGAUACGGGCAGACUAGAGUGCGGUAGGGGAGACUGGAAUUCCUGGUGUAGCGGUGGAAUGCGCAGAGUAUCAGGAGGAACACCGGUGGCGAAGGCGGGUCUCUGGGCAGUAACUGACGCUGAGGAGCGAAAGCGUGGGGAGCGAACAGG